UUGAUCCUGGCUCAGGACGAACGCUGGCGGCGUGCCUAACACAUGCAAGUCGAACGAAGAACAGCUUGAAGCUUGCUUUAGACUGUUUUUAGUGGCGGACGGGUGAGUAACGCGUGAGUAACCUGCCUUUCAGAGGGGGAUAACGUUCUGAAAAGAACGCUAAUACCGCAUAAUAUUUUGAAGCCGCAUGGUUUUAAAAUCAAAGGAGCAAUCCGCUGAAAGAUGGACUCGCGUCCGAUUAGCUAGUUGGUGAGGUAAUGGCUCACAAAGGCGACGAUCGGUAGCCAGAUUGAGAGGUUGAUCGGCCACAUUGGGACUGAGACACGGCCCAGACUCCUACGGGAGGCAGCAGUGGGGGAUAUUGCACAAUGGAGGAAACUCUGAUGCAGCAACGCCGCGUGAGGGAGAAGGUUUUCGGAUUGUAAACCUCGUCCUUGGUGAACGAUAAUGACGGUAGCCAAGGAGGAAGCUCCGGCUAACUACGUGGCCAGCAGCGCGGUAAUACGUAGGGAGCAAGCGUUGUCCGGAUUUACUGGGUGUAAAGGGUGCGUAGGCGGCACUGCAAGUCAGGCGUGAAAGGCGGAGGCUUAACCUCCGAGUUGCGUUUGAAACUGUGGUGCUUGAGUGAAGUAGAGGUAGGCGGAAUUCCCGGUGUAGCGGUGAAAUGCGUAGAGAUCGGGAGGAACACCAGUGGCGAAGGCGGCCUACUGGGCUUUAACUGACGCUGAGGCACGAAAGCAUGGGUAGCAAACAGGAUUAGAUACCCUGGUAGUCCAUGCUGUAAACGAUGAUUACUAGGUGUGGGGGGGUCUGACCCCUUCCGUGCCGGAGUUAACACAAUAAGUAAUCCACCUGGGGAGUACGACCGCAAGGUUGAAACUCAAAGGAAUUGACGGGGGCCCGCACAAGCAGUGGAGUAUGUGGUUUAAAUUCGAAGCAACGCGAAGAACCCUUACCAGGUCUUGACAUCCAACUAACGAAGCAGAGAUGCGUUAGGUGCCCUUCGGGGAAAGUUGAGACAGGUGGUGCAUGUGGUCGUCAGCUCGUGUCGUGAGAUGUUGGGUUAAGUCCCGCAACGAGCCGCCCAACCCUUGUCAUUUAGGUUGCUACGCAAGAGCACUCUAAUGAGACUGCCGUUGACAAAACGGAGGAAGGUGGGGACGACGUCAAAUCAUCAUGCCCUUUAUGACCUGGGCUACACACGUACUACAGUGAUCGUUAACAGAGGGAAGCAAAGCCGCGAGGUGGAGCAAAACCCUAAAAACGGUCUCAGUUCGGAUUGUAGGCUGCAACUCGCCUACAUGAAGUUGGAAUUGCUAGUAAUCGCGGAUCAGAAUGCCGCGGUGAAUACGUUCCCGGGCCUUGUACACACCGCCCGUCACACCAUGGGAGCC
rnacentral:rRNA from 1 species